rnacentral:lncRNA from 1 species
CUGAACUCUGAUGUCUUCUGAAACUCUGAUUUCUCCUUAGGAGUUCCCAUUAAAAAAUUUUUUCAGGGUCAUGUAGAAAGAAAGCAUGCAGAAAUCUCAUCAACAGAUCUGAGAGGUCGGCUCUACAAUCAGUAACAGAGACAAAGAGCAGAUUUUUUAGGGCAGUCCUGAUUUUUCUUGAUUAUAUUAAUUUCAGAAAAUGUGAAUCACUGAAUGUAUAGAUGUAAAUUAAAUGUUCUACCAUUAGAAGGCUUUUCAUAUAAAUUCAUAAUCAGAAGAAUUUUUUCGUGUCACACUAUGCACUAAGAAUUUUAGAAAAUAAGGACAUUGUGACAUUUCGGUGUAUGUGAUGAUGCAAUUGUCAGACCAUGACAACUGUGCAUGAAUAGAAGGAGGAUGCAAAGCCAGCCUGCCUUGUCUCGUGCUGUCUCUCCUCUCCAGUGGCUGUGCUUCCUCCUCUUCCCUUUGGCCACCUCUGAGCACAUUAAGCUUGCAGGAUUGUGAUGGGAUUUAAAGGCAUUUCAGCUACUCAUGUGCACAGCGCUCUUCUCCUCAUUCUACCUGGAGAACAACACUAAGAAGGUACAGUCAGUGAGAGCUUUCAGAGGAGAACAAGUCUGGAUGAGAAUCCUCUCGAACUGGGCAUCAGAAUAGGUUUCUCCUCCUCACUCAUCUCUCUGUGACACACAGCCCUCGAAAGGCAUGCCAUCCCACAGACAUUUUUCCUGGAAAAAGAGACAGAACGUAAUCAGGAAAUGUGAAAAUAAAAGAAGAAACGAUGGGUUAGAGAAGAUCCAGGCUAUUCUCACGGAGCAAAUAUCUGGGGGCAAAGAGUCCUUUCAGCCACAAGUCUUAAUAGUUUGUGUGAGUGUUAAUCUGCUUCUCAUAGAGUCACCAUGAAACACACCUUAGACAGAAUAAUACAAAGCUUUAACGAAGACCGCAGAAGAACUUCAUAUCUGAGUACCAUUUGCAAUCGAUUUACAAAUAAUGCCAGCAUCCUUAGCGACUUCUUCAGGCAAGGUUAUACUGGGGGUUUUUGAGGCUAAGCAGGUGAACUGGGAGUACCGCACACAGCAUGGCUUCCAGCCUGAAGUGACUGUAAAAUGCCAGUGAAUAGAGAGGCUCAAGGCUGAGUAAAGGAUCCUGCACACUCAACAGGCUCAUCCUUCUCUGCACCCGAGUUGUUCAUAGAGUCCCAGUUACAGAGCUUUCAGAAGGCGGAAUUCGUCCACAGCACACUAUUGAUGCCUAUCGAAUCUAAGGAAAUUAACUAAGAAGGGAAGAAAUAAUCUUCAUAGAAAAGGGAUUUGAGAACCCAGAAGAGGGUAUGGGCCUGGCAGUGUGCAUGCUGCAAACUAUGCACCAUCACUGGCCUAAAACGCACCUCUGUGUGCAUCAUUUACUCACGUUUAAAAAUCACCCUCUACUUGUUCUCCUGUGACCCUCAUUGGACUAUAUCCAGACAGCACUGAAAGUGAUAGCCAGAAAAAGUAGAAACAACCCAUGUGUUCAUCCACUGACGAAUGGAUCAAAACAUGUGGCGUGUCCAUCCAUACAAGGGGAUAUUACCCAGCAGUCAAAAGGAGCAAAGAACUGAUGUAUACCACACCAUGGCUGAUUCUCAACAGUAUGUUCAGUGAAAGAAACCAGUCACAAAAGCACAUGUACUGUAUGUCUAUUUAUAUGAACUGCUUGGAGGAGGCACCUAGUGGUUGCCAGGGGCUUGGGGUGGGGGUGGAGGGCAGGAAUGGGGAAUGCCUGCCCCCUCCAUGGGGUUUCUUUGUGGG